GCGGGUAUAGUUUAGUGGUAAAAUAGCCUUCCAAGCUAAUGAUGCGGGUUCGAUUCCCGCUACCCGCU
rnacentral:tRNA from 1 species